GUCAGUUCAUGCUCUGUGGUUGGCUGAUGUCAUUAUGGACAAAAUUCCCCCUGAAGCCUCAUGCUAACUGCUGAAGCCAGUGUCUCCCAGGAUACCAGCCUCUCACUCGCUGGUGUGCUUCACCUGUAAGGAUGCGUCCUCCAAUUGGCGUUGUCUGGCACCAACUAUGUGUCGAAGUGCUGAAAACAACUGUGUGACAGAAUAUAGUAUUUUAGAAACUGGCGGACAUUCCGGGCAGAGCAUCUCCAAGCAGUGUUCUGUACAUUGCCCCGGCGGUGUUUCCUGCUGCAGUUUUUCCUUCUGCAACUUCAGCAGGGCCAGCAGCGUGAAAGUCAGCUACUCCGUGCUGGCCAUGGUGGUCUUGGCCAGCUUUGUCUAUGUCAGAGCCGGACUCUGAUCAGGCCAGGAAAAAAGAAGUUGAUGCCCUGAAGAAUCUGCUCAGGCUUCUCCAA